GACGAGAGAGAAAGAGAGAGGUAGAGAGAGAGAGAGAGAGAGAGAGAGAGAGAAGGAGAAAGAGUCAGAGUCAGAAGAGUCAAAUCAUCGCGACGGCAGAGCAGCGAGGACGGCGUUAGUGGCAGUGGCGAUGGUGCACGCAUGUCGGGGUAAACGUGUCAAGGUGCCGAUAGACGUAGCGACGCGACGAAUCCGUCGCGAGAUAUAGUAGCGAGGAUGGACUAAGGCGAAGGAAAAGGAGAAAGCAUGAAGGAAGAAGCAGGACGGCAAGACGCACGCCCGACAAUGACGACGACGUACGAUUCAAAGUGCCCGCGAACGGAAAGAUCAGGCAGGAAAAUUUAAGAGGAUGUAAUCUGCUCGUGUCCUGAAUUAGCUCGAACGAUAUAAGGUGACCUAAUUGAUUGAAAAUUUCUUGCUUGACGAUUUUCGUUAUCGACAAUAAAAAAAUGUUUAUUUUGUAAAACUUGGAGAGUGGUAGAACAGAUACGAUUUAUAUACUCUCACAGGUUCGUUAAAAUCUAUAAAAAAAAUUCAAACGAUUAUAUCGUAUUUCAUGGAGUAUGAUAAUAAAUACAUUUAUCGCAUUAUGUGCCGUUCCAACAGUUCGU